rnacentral:rRNA from 1 species
UACGUAGGGUGCAGGCGUUAAUCGGAAUUACUGGGCGUAAAGCGUGCGCAGGCGGUUUCUUAAGUCGGAUGUGAAAGCCCCGGGCUUAACCUGGGAACUGCGUUUGAAACUGGGAGACUUGAGUGUGGCAGAGGGGGGUGGAAUUCCACGUGUAGCAGUGAAAUGCGUAGAUAUGUGGAGGAACACCGAUGGCGAAGGCAGCCCCCUGGGUUAACACUGACGCUCAUGCACGAAAGCGUGGGGAGCAAACAGG